rnacentral:misc_RNA from 1 species
GUCCCUUCGGGUUCGGUUUCGCUCUGCCCCUCACAGUUGAACUCAAGGCCACAUGCAACCUGUCUUUUUUCUUCUCCCUUAGUAGCCACCGCGUGGCAUCUCAGGGUCCGGCGCCCCCACUCUUCAGGGGUGCCAGGCAGUCCACCUCCUCCCACCCCCCUAUCCCCGGCCGAUGCCGAGCCACCUCUGGUGACGGACAGGGUCAAGCGCCUGCUACGUUGCGGGGUGGAGGGAGGCCAGGUCGUAUAUGGCACUGCGUCGGAGAGGCCUGCGGCCGUGCACACGCUUCUGCCGUCCAUGUAACGGGCAGAGAGUCAGCACGACUCGAGCGUAUCCCACCCGGGCCCUCACACUGCCUCCUGGUGUGUAUAGUCUGAGUGCCAUCCCGAGGGAUGCACCAGGGGUGGCGACCGGCAUGAUGGGAGCCGGCUGUGUGGCGACCUGCUGAGCAGUGGUGGGCAGAGCUUGAGGCAGGGGCCGUGCUCAGAUGGCUGGAGUCGGCACAUUGCUGCAACGCGUGUGUCCACGGCUGUGUCGCACCACGCGAUGGGGCCUAUAUGGCAGGCUAGGGAGUUUGUGUUGAGCAUACUAACCUCGUGGUGUGCGGCCGAGAAGGUGGGCGCAUUGGAGGAAAGUAACAAAGAACUUUCCAUGAGGUUGUUUGCCUUUCUCUCUCUCAAUGUCUCCUGAUGAGCUUGUGCCCGUUACUGAUGCGCUGUACGUGCUGCUUUCCUUUCUGCGGUGCCCUUGUGAGGGUCCUUGGCGUUGUCGCGCUUGGCUCUUUUGUUUUCUCUCGUCUAUAUGUUGGCAUGCUAGCGUCGCGUUGCCUUUCUGUGUCAGCUUGGUCAUGGCUGUGGCGCCCUUUGGCACCCCAUGUCUAUUCAGCCCACCCACCCCUUCCGCACCACCUUCUUCCCCAUUUACACACGCGCGCGCCGUCUGCUCCCUGCACCGCUUGUCUCUCAGCAUCCUCUUGUAAGUACUUAGUCUUUUUACCGAGUGUCAUGUAUGUGCUCGCGUACACGCAUGCAUGUAUUGAUGCACACAUCUGUGCGUGUGCACACACGUGCGCGCGCCGCGCUUCUCUCGCUCUCUCAUGUUUCUUCCCGUGCAUGCACUGCUACUCAUGUGCUUUUCCUUUCGUUUUUUUUUUCUCAGCUGCUCUCCUCUCCACGCACGUACGCGGUCCAGUGAAGUUUGAGGGGAGUGGGGCGAGAGGCGAAGAUGAGCGAACUUGUGCCGCCAGAUACGCGCGUACGGUGCCCAGGCAGAAACACGCAUGGUAGGGUGGAGGCACGCAUCGGACAGUGAACGCACAACGACGCGCUUUCUCACCCUCCUACCCCGGCCACUGCGUCCACUGGUCACGGCGGGGAAGCAAAACGGAGAUUCGAUCAUUUUGCCGCCUUUGCUUAGUUCCUUUGAUUCUUCUUACUUUGCGUGCGUUUUUUCCGGAGACAUGAGGAUGCGGUGGAAUCGGAGAGGGGGUGGGGAGGGGGCAUCGCGGAGUUGCCUUUCUCCAGUGCAAGCGAGAUCUCUGCUCCAUUUAUCGGUAUUCGUUCGAUGCUUCAUGCAGUCCUUUCGCGAGAAAGGACCCCAGUGACCUCAUGGCCCCCCGCCUUCUCUCUUGCUGCUUCUACUGUCUGUGUCCCCAGAGCAAUACCACCGCACGACCCUUCAUGUCGCCACGCGGUGAGACAGGGAGCUGGAAGGACGGGGCGGCACCGCACUCUCGUCCGUGCACACAAGCACAGGCAUAGACGCUUAUCGACGCUCUUGUAUGACAGGCGGACUCUAUUCCUGCUGGCAUGGCCCUCAGUGUCACCGGGACGAUUGCAGACGCUACCCCAGAACUCAGAUCGACGGAAACGAAUACGCUUGCUUGCUCAUCUCCUCCCUGUAACUCGUUCCCCUCCCUCUGUCCUUCUCACUCUGGUCAUGAAACAAAG